GAUCCUGGCUCAGGAUGAACGCUGGCGGUAUGCUUAAUACAUGCAAGUCGUACGAGGGCUUUUAGCCCUAGUGGCGGACGGGUGAGUAACACGUGAGAAUCUGCCCUUAGGAGGAGGAUAACAGCUGGAAACGGUUGCUAAUACUCCAUAUGCCGAGAGGUGAAAGGAAUUUCUGCCUAAGGAGGAGCUCGCGUCUGAUUAGCUAGUUGGUAGGGUAAAGGCCUACCAAGGCGACGAUCAGUAGCUGGUUUGAGAGGAUGAUCAGCCACACUGGGACUGAGACACGGCCCAGACUCCUACGGGAGGCAGCAGUAGGGAAUUUUCCGCAAUGGGCGAAAGCCUGACGGAGCAAUACCGCGUGAGGGAUGACGGUCUGUGGGUUGUAAACCUCUUUUCUCAAGGAAGAAGUUCUGACGGUACUUGAGGAAUAAGCAUCGGCUAACUCUGUG
rnacentral:rRNA from 1 species